rnacentral:rRNA from 1 species
AAUACCGCAUAAUGUCGCAAGACCAAAGAGGGGGACCUUCGGGCCUCUUGCCAUCGGAUGUGCCCAGAUGGGAUUAGCUUGUUGGUGGGGUAACGGCUCACCAAGGCGACGAUCCCUAGCUGGUCUGAGAGGAUGACCAGCCACACUGGAACUGAGACACGGUCCAGACUCCUACGGGAGGCAGCAGUGGGGAAUAUUGCACAAUGGGCGCAAGCCUGAUGCAGCCAUGCCGCGUGUAUGAAGAAGGCCUUCGGGUUGUAAAGUACUUUCAGCGGGGAGGAAGGGAGUAAAGUUAAUACCUUUGCUCAUUGACGUUACCCGCAGAAGAAGCACCGGCUAACUCCGUGCCAGCAGCCGCGGUAAUACGGAGGGUGCAAGCGUUAAUCGGAAUUACCGGGCGUAAAGCGCACGCAGGCGGCUUGUUAAGUCAGAUGUGAAAUCCCCGGGUCAACCUGGGAACUGCAUCUGAUACUGGCAAGCUUGAGUCUCGUAGGGGGGGGUAGAAUUCCAGGUGUAGCGGUGAAAUGCGUAGAGAUCUGGAGGAAUACC